rnacentral:rRNA from 1 species
UACGUAGGGGGCAAGCGUUAUCCGGAUUUACUGGGUGUAAAGGGAGCGUAGACGGCGAAGAAAGUCUGAAGUGAAAGCCCGCGGCUCAACCGCGGAAUGGCUUUGGAAGCUUUUUUGCUGGAGUACCGGAGAGGUAAGCGGAAUUCCUAGUGUAGCGGUGAAAUGCGUAGAUAUUAGGAGGAACACCAGUGGCGAAGGCGGCUUACUGGACGGUAACUGACGUUGAGGCUCGAAAGCGUGGGGAGCAAACAGG